rnacentral:rRNA from 1 species
UUUGCCUAUACAUGCAGGUCGAACGCGUUGGCCCAAUUGAUUGAUGGUGCUUGCACCUGAUUGAUUUUGGUCGCCAACGAGUGGCGGACGGGUGAGUAACACGUAGGUAACCUGCCCAGAAGCGGGGGACAACAUUUGGAAACAGAUGCUAAUACCGCAUAACAGCGUUGUUCGCAUGAACAACGCUUAAAAGAUGGCUUCUCGCUAUCACUUCUGGAUGGACCUGCGGUGCAUUAGCUUGUUGGUGGGGUAACGGCCUACCAAGGCGAUGAUGCAUAGCCGAGUUGAGAGACUGAUCGGCCACAAUGGGACUGAGACACGGCCCAUACUCCUACGGGAGGCAGCAGUAGGGAAUCUUCCACAAUGGGCGCAAGCCUGAUGGAGCAACACCGCGUGAGUGAAGAAGGGUUUCGGCUCGUAAAGCUCUGUUGUUAAAGAAGAACACGUAUGAGAGUAACUGUUCAUACGUUGACGGUAUUUAACCAGAAAGUCACGGCUAACUACGUGCCAGCAGCCGCGGUAAUACGUAGGUGGCAAGCGUUAUCCGGAUUUAUUGGGCGUAAAGAGAGUGCAGGCGGUUUUCUAAGUCUGAUGUGAAAGCCUUCGGCUUAACCGGAGAAGUGCAUCGGAAACUGGAUAACUUGAGUGCAGAAGAGGGUAGUGGAACUCCAUGUGUAGCGGUGGAAUGCGUAGAUAUAUGGAAGAACACCAGUGGCGAAGGCGGCUACCUGGUCUGCAACUGACGCUGAGACUCGAAAGCAUGGGUAGCGAACAGGAUUAGAUACCCUGGUAGUCCAUGCCGUAAACGAUGAGUGCUAGGUGUUGGAGGGUUUCCGCCCUUCAGUGCCGGAGCUAACGCAUUAAGCACUCCGCCUGGGGAGUACGACCGCAAGGUUGAAACUCAAAGGAAUUGACGGGGGCCCGCACAAGCGGUGGAGCAUGUGGUUUAAUUCGAAGCUACGCGAAGAACCUUACCAGGUCUUGACAUCUUGCGCCAACCCUAGAGAUAGGGCGUUUCCUUCGGGAACGCAAUGACAGGUGGUGCAUGGUCGUCGUCAGCUCGUGUCGUGAGAUGUUGGGUUAAGUCCCGCAACGAGCGCAACCCUUGUUACUAGUUGCCAGCAUUAAGUUGGGCACUCUAGUGAGACUGCCGGUGACAAACCGGAGGAAGGUGGGGACGACGUCAGAUCAUCAUGCCCCUUAUGACCUGGGCUACACACGUGCUACAAUGGACGGUACAACGAGUCGCGAACUCGCGAGGGCAAGCAAAUCUCUUAAAACCGUUCUCAGUUCGGACUGCAGGCUGCAACUCGCCUGCACGAAGUCGGAAUCGCUAGUAAUCGCGGAUCAGCAUGCCGCGGUGAAUACGUUCCCGGGCCUUGUACACACCGCCCGUCACACCAUGAGAGUUUGUAACACCCAAAGUCGGUGGGGUAACCUUUUAGGAGCCAGCCGCCUAAGGUGGACC